CACCUUCCAAAUCGAUCAACCAUGAAGCCAACCGUAGUUCUUGCUCUCUCUUUCCUCCUUCCCCUCCUUGCUUUCUUCACCAACAUUCCCUUAGCUUUCUCAGAUGAUGUUGAACAAGUUGUGGACAUAUAUGGGAACCCCAUUUACCCAGGUUUUUCAUACUACAUCAUCCCAGCACUCCGUGGUCCAGGUGGUGGUGGAUUGAAACUUGCCCAAACUGGAAACUCAGAGUGCUCUCUUACUAUCCUGCAAGAUUACUCUGAAGUCUUCCGUGGCCUUCCUGUGCAAUUCACCAUUCCCGGAAUCAGUCCUGGAAUCAUCUUCACAGGUACUAAUUAAAACUUAAUUGUCAUGAAUUGAAUUGUUAGAAGUUUCAAGUGGAUUAAAAGUAAAACCAAUUUAUAAUAUAUAAUAUAACGCUGAUUUUGUGAGAUUGAGUCAAGUUUAAAGUUCACUCCUUAAUAUGGUAUCAUAGUAAUGAUUAGAGUCUAUCUUAAGAUAUUUGUUGUUUAUUGAACAUUUUGUUCGACCUGUUAUCGGAUCAUUAUUCGACCACUUAUUAAUAUCUAGUCUCACGCUUUGUUUAUACGUUGGACGUAAAGAGUGUGUUGAGAGUGUGACAUCAAUUAAUGAUAAGAUAAAAUUAAUUUGUAAUAUAUAAAUGAAUGUGGACCUCGUCUUAUUAGAGACCGGUUUUAUAAUAUUGAAAUAGGUUUGAAAUUGACUUAUAAAAUUUCGUAUAAAUUAUCUUCUGUUACUAAUUUCAAGUUUUGGAAACAUCCCUAUAGGUACCGAACUGGAGAUCGAGUUCGUAGAGAAGCCAUGGUGUGCAAAAUCCUCCAAGUGGUCGUUGUUCAUAGAUGUAUCAAUCGGGAAGGCAUGUUUGGGAAUUGGUGGUGCCGAAGGCCAUCCAGGGCAAUCAACUUAUGAUGGCAAAUUUCACAUUAAGAAAUACAUAUUUGGGUACAAGCUUGUGUUCUGCCUCGAUGCCACAAAAGCUUGCUUGGAUAUUGGGAGAUUUGAUGCCAAGAACGGCGAGGAAGGAAGACGCUUGAAUACGACUCAGGAUGAAGCAUUCGAUAUUGUGUUCGUACCAGCUUUUAAAGCUGAUAAGGUUAUUAAGUCUGUAGCUUGAGUCAAAUAUCUCUAGUUAAUCAGAUUUUAGUUAAUGCAUAUGUUGUUGUUUUGAAAGUGCUGUGCCCUUACUGUUUGAUUAUUUAUACAUUGGUCAUAUAUAUAUAUAUAUAUAUAUAUAUAUAUAUAUAUAUAUAUUAUUUUACAUUGUUACUUAAUGGAAAGUGACUCUCAAAUUUAAACUAUUACGUUAUAAAAAUUAAGGAAAAUGAUAUUUUUACACCAAUUUUUGACACUAUUUUGACACUGCACACGUGUCAAAACAUGGUUGGACGAUAUUAAAUUAAAAAAACUGAAACAAGGACAUAUUUGGAAGAAAAAAACCAAACUUUUUUUUUUAAUUUGAAAUCAUCCAACCACGUUUUGACACGUGUACAGUAUCAAAAUGGUGUCAAAAAAUUGGUGUCAAAAUAUCAUUUUUCAAAAAUUAAAUCAAAAUGUGAAAGAAUGUGUGAGUUCUAUUUUAAUUGAAAAUAUGUAUAUGUCAGAAUUUCUCUUCAAGAACUUUUAGGAAGAAAAAAAAAAUGAAAUUAGUAUCUCAAUAAAUUAAAAAUAAUUUAUUAAUAAAUUAAUCUAUUGACAUUAUUUUACGUAGCUUCUUAAGAGUUAUUUUUAACUUACGUAUGAUGCCAUUUUAGUUUAUGAAAAACUUUAUGUAUUUUUAUUUUUUUUAUCUUAAAAGUUGUUAAGGAGAAACUCGUAUUACUAUAAAGACUCCUAUUACAUAUUUAGACAGAAUAUACGAUUUAAUGUGCGAAAGUUUUAGUGGAAUAAACAGUCAAUUAACAUAACAUGGUAGGGAUUAUCAACCGAAUACAUUUCCUACUCACGGUUAUACCUACAAACAUCAAAGCAUUUUUUUUUAAUCAACAAAGAAUAAAUAUAAUUAUAUUGGAUCACUUGGUUGCUCUAUCCCAUUUACAUAAUAUAUGUUAGUAUUUUAAUCUGAAUAUCUCCCAACUGUAAUAACUGUCCUCUGACAGUUAUUCUCAUUCUUUAGUUUUACUCUUUAAAUACUUCUUUUGUACUCUCUAUUUCAAUUUUCUUCAAUAAGAAUAACUCUCAUUUUCUUCAAACUCUCUUACACUCUGUAUUCUCUCCUCUGCAUAAUUGCUUCUCUGCAUAAUUCUUCCAAACUGUAACAUUGGUAUCAGGAGCUAGGAAAUUCGGUGAAGACAGCUCAAGUCAUUUCAAGAAGAAAAGUGUUCGUGAGUAAUGGCUGGAAUGAUGCACAGCAACCUACCUGUUUUCGAUGGCAAAGGAUUCGAUGAUUGGUGUAUUAAGAUGGACGCGAUCCUCGGCUUUCAAGAGGUAGAUGAAAUUGUAAGAAAAGGUUUUAAAGAACCUGUCAAGGAUGAUUCAGAAGCAGCCAAGAAGCUAUACAAGGAAAACAAGAAGUUGGAUUGCAAAGCAAGAAUGUUGUUGCAUCAGUGCAUAUCGGCAACAAUUUUUCAGAAAGUCUCAAAGGCUACUACGGCGAAGGAGAUUUGGGAUAUCUUGCAAGAUGGUUAUGGCAAUUCUGGAAAGGUCAAGAAGACAAGAUUACAGUCAUUGCAGAGACAGUAUGAACUUCUCGCCAUGAAGGAGCAAGAAACAGUGGUCGAAUACAUUGGUAGACUUCAAUUGAUUGUGAAUGCAAUGAGAGCGUGUGAUAAGAUUGUCAAAGACAAGAAAAUUGUAGAGAAAAUACUCAGAACCCUAACCCCUCAAUUUGAUCAUAUAGCUUUGACCAUAGAAGAAACUAAAGAUCUCGAGAAGUUGAAGGUGGAGGAAUUGCAGAAUUCUUUAGAAGCGCAUGAGCAAAGAUUAAUCGAAAGGAGAAAUGUUGAAAAAGGCGAAAAUCAAGGCGUGAGUCAAGCAUUACAAGCCAGAAAUGAUUACAAACCCAGAGGCCGUGGGAGAGGCAGAGGUCGAUCAAGAGGAGGACGCAAUGGUGGUAGAGGCAUGAAACCAUCAGAUCAAAGUAAUGAAGAUAAUGGAGGUGAACAAAAGAAUGGAAGUGGUCGAGGAGGUCGACACUCGAGAGGCAGAGGCAGAAAGGGUUAUGACAAAAGGAGUAUCCAGUGCUUCACUUGCAGCAAAUACGGCCAUUAUUCCACGGAGUGUUGGCAUAAUGAAGAUUCGAAGGGAACCAAGAAUGGAGGGUCAGCCAAUCUUGCACAAGAAACUGAAGAAUCAGAGUCUGAUCAUAUUGUGUUAAUGAGCACAAUUGAAAGAUUCGAAAAAGGGCAAUGUAAGAAAUUGACGUUGAACGGGAUUAAGCAAGAAAUGAUUCUGGUGGACAGAUGCAACGAAGCACAUGUGUCAAUCUCAGAAGAAAGUGGAGAACACGUGUCGUCAUCGUUCGAAAGAAGACAUGCAGCAAAAGACGUAGCACCCGCACAUACGUUGUCGUUCGAAAUGAGACAUGAAGCGAAAGAUGUAGCUCCCACACAUGCGUUGCUCUCAAACGGUGUAAAUCAAGCGGCGAAUGAUGAUUCAUGUAGCUGGUAUUUGGACACGGGUUGUUCGAACCAUAUGACAGGGAGACGAGAAUGGUUAGUAAACCUCGAUCCAAGUAUAAAGAGCCGUGUGCGAUUUGCGGACAACAGCACGAUCAUGGCGGAAGGAGUUGGCAGAGUCUUGAUCACUUGCAAGAACGGUAAGAUCGCUUACAUGGAUGACGUCUUGUAUGUUCCUUCAAUGAAGAGCAACUUGUUGAGUUUAGGGCAACUCCUGGAGAAAGGGUACACCAUGUCUAUGCAUCAGCGACAUAUAGAAAUAUUUGACAGCAAACAACGUCCUGUGAUUAAAGCACCACUUGCCCGUAACAGGACUUUCAAAGUGAAUUUGAACGCUGCAGCUAUACAGUGUUUGUCUGUCUCAAACCACGAAGAAGAAGGAUGGCUAUGGCACUACAGAUACGGGCAUCUAAAUUUCAAAGGCCUGAGUCAAUUGAAAGGCAAGGAUUUGGUGAAAGGUGUGCCUUCAAUAUUUGUUCCAGACAGAAUCUGUGAGGGUUGUGCUAUAGGCAAGCAAUCUAGAAGGAGAUUUCAACAAUUGGCACCCAAAAGAGCGAAACAGCCUCUGGAUGUUGUCCACUCAGACGUUUGCGGCCCCUUCGAUGUUCCAUCAGUUGGAGGUAACAAAUAUUUCUUGUUAUUUGUAGACGAAUGGACGAGAAAAAUGUGGAUAUAUUUGUUGAAAGCAAAGAAAGAGGUAUAUUCAUAUUUUGUGAAAUUUUGCUCUUUGGUGGAGAGACAAUCUGGCUCGCAGGUUAGGGUGUUCAGAACCGAUGGAGGAGGAGAGUUCAACUCCUCUGAGAUGGACAAGUUUUGCACUGAAAAAGGCAUUGUGCAUGAAGUAACGGCUCCCUACACACCACAGCAUAACGGCCUAGCUGAAAGAAGGAACAGGACGAUAGUUGAUAUGACGAGAUGUAUGAUUAAAGCCAAGCAAUUGCCGCAUUGUUUGUGGGGAGAAGCAACAUCUACUGCUGUCUAUCUUCUGAAUAGAAGUCCUACGAAGGCCUUGCCUACAUGUACCCCUGAAGAAGCCUGGUCUGGAAUUAAACCAACUGCAUAUCAUUUGAGAGUUUUCGGGUCUGUGUGCUAUAGACACAUCCCAGAUGAACGAAGGAAGAAACUGGAUGAUAAGAGUGAGAUUCUCAUCUUUGUUGGCUAUCAUCCUACAGGUGCUUACAGACUGUAUGACCCAGUAAAGAAGCAGGUUGUCAUCAGUCGAGAUGUGGUGGUGGAUGAAACAACAACAUUUGACUGGGAGAAGGCUGAAGAAAAAUCUGAAGGAGGUUGUAUUCCAAGUUGGCUUGAGGAUAAGAGUUCCUUCAAUGAUGAGCAAACAGACGCAGACCGUGAAAUUAACAAUAGAAGAUCACAAAGGACAAGGUUUCCAUCCACCAGACUUACAGACCAUGAAGUCUUUCCUGACAAUGAAGUUACUAGCUCAGGUGAUCUUGUACAUUUUGCGUUUUUGGCCGACACAGAACCACUGACCUGGAAGCAAGCUAUUGAUGUAAAGGAGUGGAGAGAAGCCAUGUUGGAGGAACUUAAGGCAAUAGAGAAAAACAGAACCUGGGAGAUGGUGGAAUUACCUCAGCAUAAACAGCCCAUUGACGUUAAAUGGGUGUUUAAAAUCAAGCACAAACCAGAUGGUGAAGUAGCAAAGUUCAAAGCCAGAUUGGUGGCAAGAGGUUUCUUACAAAAGCCUGGAGAGGAUUUCACUGAUGUGUUUGCUCCUGUUGCACGACUUGAAACAGUGAGGUUGUUGAUUGCUGUGGCCAAUAUUAAAGCUUGGAGAAUUUGUCAAAUGGAUGUUAAAUCCGCUUUUCUGAACGGUUUUUUGGAGGAAGAGGUUUAUGUGAGACAACCUCCAGGUUUUGUGAAGAAAGGAGAAGAAGGAAAAGUGUAUAGAUUGAACAAAGCUUUAUAUGGUCUCAGGCAGGCACCUCGUGCUUGGAAUAACCAUAUCAACGCAGUUCUGCUCAAACUGGGAUUCAAGAGGUGCUCCGUAGAAUCUGGAGUCUAUGUGAAAUCUGGUGAAAGGCAAGGUAUGUUGUUGAUAUGCCUAUAUGUGGAUGAUCUUCUUAUAACAGGAGACUCAAUAGAUGAAAUUGAAGAAUUUAAGAAGAAGAUGAAGGAGGAAUUUGAGAUGACAGAUCUCGGUGGUUUAAGCUACUUCCUGGGUUUGGAAUGUGUGCAGACAAGCGGUGGAAUGUUUCUUAGUCAAAGGAGAUAUAUUAGCAAUGUGUUGAGAAGAUUUAAGAUGGAAAACUGCAACAGUGCAGCAGUACCAAUAAUGACAAAUUUGAAGUUGAUAGACAAUCCAGAUGAGAAGAAGGUGGACGCCACUUUAUAUAAACAAAUGGUAGGAUCCUUGCGUUAUAUUUGUAAUAGCAGACCCGAUAUCUGCUAUGGAGUUGGGCUGGUGAGCAGAUUUAUGCAGGAGCCUAGACAAUCACAUCUUGCUGCUACCAAACACAUAUUGCGAUAUUUGAAGGGAACUUCAAAUUUUGGUCUGUUCUUCCCCAAAAACCCGAACAACAUGAGAGGAGUUUUGGAGGCUUGGUGUGAUGCUGACUGGUGUGGUGACAAAGUUGAUAGGAAAAGUACUUUUGGGUACUUGUUCAGAUAUAUGGGAGCGACUGUUUCGUGGUGCUCCAAGAAGCAGAGCGUGGUCGCAUUAUCCUCUUGCGAGGCUGAAUAUAUCGCAGCUGCUGAGACUGCGUGUCAGUGUGUGUGGAUGGAAACUAUGUUUGAUGAACUAAGGAUUGAGUACGGAAAACCGGUGCAGCUCUCAGUGGAUAAUAAAUCAGCAAUAUGUUUGUCCAAAAAUCCAGUUUUUCACGGUAGGAGCAAACACAUUGAAACCAAAUUUCAUUUCCUAAGAGAUCAAGUCAGCAAAGGUAGAUUGGAGCUGGUUCAUUGCAGCACUGAUGAUCAAAUUGCAGAUGUGUUCACCAAAGCUUUGAAGCAAGUCAAAUUUGAGAAACUUAGAGAAUUGCUUGGUGUUAAAACUUUUGUAAAUUCAGAUUAAGGAGGGCGUGUUAGUAUUUUAAUCUGAAUAUCUCCCAACUGUAAUAACUGUCCUCUGACAGUUAUUCUCAUUCUUUAGUUUUACUCUUUAAAUACUUCUUUUGUACUCUCUAUUUCAAUUUUCUUCAAUAAGAAUAACUCUCAUUUUCUUCAAACUCUCUUACACUCUGUAUUCUCUCCUCUGCAUAAUUGCUUCUCUGCAUAAUUCUUCCAAACUGUAACAUAUAUACAAAUUAUUUUUUUCUACAUUAGUCAUAACGUUGAUUUGAAAAUUUUUCUAAUAUAAAAAAAUCUUUUUAUACUAGUUAAAAGAGGUUUUCUAUACCAAUUGUAAAAUCGAUAUAUAGAAACAAACAAUAAAAAAGUUUUAACUUUUCUAUAACGAAUUCAUAAUUGGUAUAGGAAGUUUCUUUUUUUCAUAAUGGUUAAUACCACAAUCGGUAUAAUAACCUAAUGCUUUCUUUUUCUUUUGUUCGCCUAUGAACAUAACAUUCUUAAACACAUCAACCAUGAAUCUAGAGCAAAACCAAGAACUAAAAAAUAAUUAUUCACUAAUUGAAUGCCCCACAAUUGCAUCUGUUGUCAUCGUUGACGUCUGACACUUCUUUAGAGCCUUUGAACAUAACAUCACUUCUUCUCUUGAGCAUUCUUUUCAAACAAAAACAACCAAGGUGCAAUAACUUCAAAGAACCUCUAAGUCAUCGCUCUAUACUUAUACUUGUGGUCGUCGACGGUUUCGCUAACACAACCUUUUUCUCCCUCUUAAGGGUUUCUCCAUAUCUCCCAAGUGUUUAUCUCCUCAUGCUUUGUUGCCAAUAUGUUGUGACGGCUUACAACUAGAGGUGUAGCACUACCUCGUCACCAUCGUCUAAGUCGUUGUUGGUGCUGGCGCAACCUCUCUACUCCUUCCACUUCAUAUGAGUGUCUUCCUUCUUGCUCACCAAAAUUAAAAUCCUCUCCAUUAUACUGAGAGUGACACCACUUAAUCUUGUUGUUGAUCGUCGCUAAACCAAUAUUCAGAUAUGUUUUUGGCACAUUGUUCUUUACAAUUAAUAAACAUGAGGAUCCUUUAGAAAUCUUCCUUUGAGAAUUUUGAUAUAACGUUGAGAUUCCCAAAGUCUUGUUGACUUUUUUGUUGUGUUACAUUUGUGUUGUUUAUGGGUGCUAGCUAAGAUAAAUGAAAGCGUUAGAGAAGAAUGGUUGGAUGGAAUUUAUUAUAUGAAAACUAUGAGUAUGGAGUUGAAGAUCACAAAUAAUAAUCGAGAGUUCAGAGAUAUGACAAAAUUUUUUGAAAUUAUCGACGGAAAUAAAUUUGUCUAUAAAUUUGAAUUAUCGAAGGAUUUUGCUGACAAAUUUUUAAUUCCGUCAGUAAUGCAUAUUUCAUUUACCGACAAAAUUUUUCGUCGAAAAAUCCGUCGAUAAUACAUAAUAAAUUUAUCGGUGAAAAAAUUUAUCAUUAAUACAUAUUAAAUUUAACAAUGGAAAGGUUUGUCGGUAAAUCCAUAGGAAAUACAUAUUAAAUUUAUCGAUGGAAAAAUAUGUCGGUAAAUCUGUUGGUAAUACAUAUUUAAUUUACCGACGGAAAGUCCUUCGAUAAAUCCUUUGAUAAAUACGUCGAUAAAAAGAACGACAAAUUUCCCACCCAUUCUUUGUCUCUUUUCGCGAACUGCACAUUACUUUUCUCACCACUUUUCUUUUAUUUUCAAAACCCUCUUCAUCUUCUUUUCUCUCCGUGAGGCAGCCCCUCAUCUCUCCUAUUUUUUCCAUCUAAGCUUAGAUUACCGCAACUCUAGGCCCAUUUGAUGCGCCUCCAUCUUUGUUUAGCCAAACCGCCAUCUACGUCGCCAUCUAUGUCGUCAAGCUUGGGAUCUUUCGCUUCGCUUCAUCUUCUUCUUCUUUAACACAUGUAAGGGAGAGAUCAUGGUUCAGUUCUUCCUUUUUCAUGCAAGGGCACAUCCAAGCUAGGUGCACUAUUGUCGUGCCACGCACUAGCACCACUAUGCAUCAUCGUUGGACCAUGAUGGAUUUGAAGCCAACAAAAUCCUUUUAUUCUCUUUUCUCUCUUUUUUAUUUGUAUUUGUGGUGAAAUAAUUUGAUAGGUUGGCUAUAAUUUUGUGUAGGUUAUGAAAUUGUUGUAAUAAUAGUUGGGUGAUAAUAAAAUUGUGUAACAAACCAAAGUGGAAUAGUGAAUAAAAGCAUAACGAUGAAAUUUUGUGCAUAAAAUUGUAUCAAUUUGUGUAACAUUCGAUUAUAAUGUGUCCAUUUUUGUUGAUUGAAAAAAAAAUAAGGGAAAGAAGAAAGGAAGAGGGGAAGAAGUUGAACCAGAUCUUAGUAGUUUGCAACCAAUUCAUUUUUUGUAUCUGUUAGGUCCAACCAAUAUAUGAAGUGUUCUACUUAUUUACCAAAUUGUCACCACAUUAGAUGGAGAACUAACCCAUGACUCCAUAUAAGAAGAACUUGAGGAGGAGCCUUUUGCAUGAAGGUAUGAAGGUCAUAGCUUGGAGCACAAUCUUGGUAAUACCUACACUUGUGGUGCAUCAGGUUUUUUCUUUUUGUUUAUUCAUUGUGUAUUAGUGUUGCCUUUGUUGUUUAGGCAAGGCUUCCAAAGGGAGUGUGUGUAGACUCUUAUUUAAGAAUGUGUUUUGUUGUGAUUGAGAGAGUGAGAGUAUAUUGAGUGAGUCUUGUAUUCUAUAAAUCUUGACAUUUGAUUUUAGUGGACUUCAACUCGAGUUGUUGAAAAAAAGAUUGAAUGUAAAUUCUUGAAGAGUUGAACCGAUAUAAAUCUUGUGUUGUUUUCUUUCACUAAUCUUGUUAAAUCUUUGGAAUGUUAAAAGAUUCAUUGAAAACAACCUUAUACACCAAUUUUUUUUAAAGAAAGUUAAAAGGAAUUUUCAAACAAAUUCACUACCUCUUGUUUUGUAAUAUAUUUUUUCGUAGAACAGGAUAACCAAGCAUUAUCACCAUCAUACAACACCGACGUUGGUAAAAUUAAAAGAAAAAAGGAGAAGAGAAAAAAAAUGAACUAGAUUGCGAUAUUUACCGACAACUUUAUCUGUCGAUGUUUACCGAUAAAUUUUUCUUUUAAUAAUUUUAGACAAUUUUUUUUUCCAAUGAUUACUGACAUAUUAAUAAAAUCCUUUGAUAAAAUUUACUAACAACAAUUUUACCAACGAAUUUUUUGUUAUCAAUAAACUUUCAAUAAUUUUAAUUUACUGAUAAAUUUUGUACAUUAUCAACAAAUUUUAAUUGUUAAUAAUAUCGAUUUUUAUCUAUAAUAAAUGCUCUAAUCUUUUACCUGUAUAUCAUCUGUCGCAAUCGGAAAAUCGCGACGGGACGACGAUCCAAAAAGAAAAUAAUUUGAAAAAUGUUUUGGAGUCGCUACUAUAGUUUAUUAUGGAAAACUACGGAAAAACCGUAAAAUGAUAAGGCAAGGUCUACAAAACCAAAUUCUGGUUUCGGAAGUCGGUUACGUGUGGGGAAGGUGUUAGCACCCCCACAGCGCCUGCCCUAAGGCAGUACCUUUAACUAAAUACGUGAAUUUGAUGUGGUUUGCAAAAUGUUUAAUUUCCCCUAAAAAAUAAGACUCUAAAGAAAACAAAAUAUUUUUUGUGUUUUUUGUGUCUGACAAGGAUUGACCUUGCUCCUAUGUAUUCUCAGUUGAACUGAGAAAUCAGGGUUACGUAGUUCUUUAAUUAUGUUCAGAUGAUUGUUUGAAAACAUGAUGUUUUAUAUUUUUUGUUAAUUUUUUGAGAGGAGAAGAAAAAGGUUUUUAACACAAGGCUGAUGCAAAUGGUCGCACGUGUGCUUAAACCUUUUAAAAUAAUAUUUUUUUAUAUUUUUAAAUAGAAGAAGAAAAAGGUUUUUAACACGAACGGUCGCACGUGUGCUUACACCUUUUAAAAUAAUUUUUGUAUUUUUAAAUAGAAGAAGAAAAAAAGGUUUUUAACACAAGGCUGACGCGAAUGGUCGCACGUGUGCUUACACCUUUUAAAAUAACUUUUUUUUUUUAAAAGAAGGAGAAAAAGGUUUUCAACACAAGGCUGAUGCGAAUGGUCGCACAUGUGCUUAAACCUUUUUAAAAUAAUAAUUUUUAUUUUUAAAAGAAGAAGAAAAAAAAAGGAUUUUUAACACAAGGCUGACGCGAAUGGUCGCACGUGUGCUUAAACCUUUUCAAAAUAUUUUUGAUUGAUAGUUUUUAUGAUUUUUAUAUUUUUUUUAUUUUUAACAAACAAACAAUGAUAAAACAAAUUCUAAAGCUAAAGAAAUAAAAGCGAAGGCAAUAAUAAAAAAAACAAUAUAGUCCAAUAAGUCCAAUAAAAAAAGGGAGGGCAGAAGACAAAACCAGGGGUGCAACAUGAAACUUAUUGGCCCAUGACCAGAGGUAGGGGUGCAGCAGAUGAAAAUUGGUGGUGCGUUUGGUAGGUGCUGGCCCAAGCCCUUUUUCGUUUUUGUUGAAGCACGGUGGAGGUGUGAAUGGAAUUGAACAUGGUGGCCAGUAGAUAGAAAGUUGUCCAAUAGGCCUAAGGCCCUUUGCCCCAAAUCAGAACAAUAGGGGUUCUACCAAUUUCCUCUCAUUUGUGCAAGCACCAUCAUGACCCAGGGCCAUUUUCUUCUCUGAACGAAGGAAACAGAGACGCACCUCUACUCAACCGACCACCACAAGCUUCCAUCCAAGUCUUCACCGACAACGCCGCUUGCCACUGGGGCCAUCGCCGGCCACCGUGAGGGUUCUCCCCUUUCUUUCUCUCGCACGAGAGAUCUUCUUGUUCGUGAGUGACGUAGGCUGUUCGUCAUGCAAGUUGCCGUUGCCACCGAGCCAGGGUCGUCGUUCCCCGUCGAGCCUUCCUUCUUCCAUCAUCGCGCCACUGCCAAGGUCAUCGUCGCAACUGCAUCAAACGAAAUUCACGAGACCAUUCACGCCAACUCCUCCCUCCAUGGGUGUACCUUCGUCCAAUCAUUCCACUUCAAGUCAUCGACCUACGGCACCACUUGCCAUUGAUCUAGGUUCGCCGCAACUUUCUCCAAUUAGGCUUACCUUUGCUGCGUCUCCGAGAGCCACCACGAGUCUUCUUGUGCAACUUGCUUCAGAUUUGCCUAAAAAGUCAUCAGAACAUCUGUGUUGAUAUUGUUGCCACCCUUCGUGUAAACUUAGAACUUGCCUCUGAUAUCUGUUUUUUACUUUGAGUGUUGAGAUGAGUUCGUGUGAUGGUGAUGGAGGUAGUGAAUGAGUUUCUCUAUUUUUGUGUUUGGUGUUUCUGUGAUGGAGGGGGGUCGUGAGUGAUUGGCCCUUCUUUGUGUUUUUUAGGUGUCAGACCGAAUGGAAGGGAGGGGAUGGUGAUUCUGUUGAGUUGAUGAGGUUGGAGAUAAUGGUGGAUGCUCUGGUUUUGAGUGUAUCGAAGGUGAUGGAAUGGAAGAACGACGAGAGAGAUGAUUCUGUUGGAGGAAAAUGGGUUCCCUCCUUGAGGUUUGUGUUUUUGGCCGAAGGGAAAAAGAAAAAUGGGUAAGUGAUUGGUGUGUCAGGAAGGAAAUUCCUCCGGAGGUGUGCGUGUUGAGUGAUGGAGAGGAGUGUGUGAGGUUAAUCUAUUGGAUGAACGUCUGAUGGUCUAUUGCUUGAAUGGGGGAAUUAGAGAAGAAGGUGUCAAUAAUGGAUGUUGUUGGAGAUGAAGGGAGGAUGCUUUAUGUGUUGCGUGAUGAGGUGUGGUGUGCGUGAGGAUGGUGUGCCUCUUCCUGAAGGCCUCCCUCUUUGCCAGUAUAUCCUCUGCCAAUCCACACCGUGUCUGCCAACCCAAUCGUGCCUGCAAAAAUCGUUUCUUGCUCCCUUGCUGUCCAACCCCGUACACACUGCUCCUAUCCCAGCUAAAACCUCUCUUUUCUUUUACUUUUUUUUUACUAAAAGACAAAAAACUACACUUUUUUUCUUUUUUUUUCUUUUUUUUUCUUUCAUGUUUUUUCUUUUUUUUUUUCGUUUUCCUUUUCUUUUCUUUUGGUUCUUUCGUUUUGUUUUUUGUUUUUUCUUUCUUUCCUUUUUUUUCAUUUCUUUUCUUACUUAUUUUUUUUAUAUAUUUUGUUUUUCAAAUAGAAAAUAAAAUCAAAUGAUAGCUAAAUCAAAUAUCAAAAAACUAAAAACUAAAAUAAAAUAAGACACAUAAAAAAAUAAGUCCUACUAUUUAGUCACCCAGACGAAAUUGUGGUUGAUAUGAUUAUACUUUUCUCUUCAUGUAACAAGAAGAAACUAUCACUGUCACAUGUUUCCUGAAGUUUAUUUUUUAUGGAGUAAAUUAGUUUUGGCAAUUUGAUGCGUUAUGUACACUACUUUGAUUCUUCAAUUAAAGAAGUUUGUCAGUCAUAAUUGUACUACUACAUGAACUCAAUAUCCUACUUAUCCUACCUAACAAUUCAAUUGUUUUCUCCAUAAUAGUGUAAUAUAUAUUAGUAUUUUAAAUAAAAAAAACAAUAGUAUAUAAUUAAUAUAUUAAUUUAUUAAGUUAUUAAGCAAAUGUUUUUAUUUUUUACUGGUGUCAAAAUAACAUGUCUUUUUUUUUAAAAAAAUAAAAACUUUCAAACCCUCAGCAUUCAGACUCUUUCUAGUUUUAAGUUUAAAAAUAAAAAACAUGAUAAAGUAUUAUUUUUUUUAUGAGUUAAGUGGAUGUUUUUGUCUCUUUGUCAUGUCAAAAUAUCAGUUUUUUUAAAGAUUUGACACGCCUUAGAAUAAAUACAUUCAGAUCAAAACAUGCUAUAAUACGUUAGGGUGGACAAAUUGAACUGAACUGUACUGCACUGCUAAAAUCUGAACUGAACUCUAAAACAGUUCAGACAAACUGAACUGAACUGUAAAACAGUUCAGAAAAACUGAACUGAAUUGUUUUUCGUUUUAUUAAACUGAAUUGAAUUGUACUGUACUAAAUUACAGUAUGAACUAAACUGAACUAUUAAUUGAAUUGUAAACUACACUAACUGAACUAUUAACUGAAUUAUAAACUGCACUAAUUGAACUGAACUAUUUAUUAACUAAAUUGUAAACUAAUUUUAACUAAAGUAUAAUAUAAACUGAACUACUAACUAUACUAAUUUUAAACUAAAUUGUACUAAUUUUUAAACUAAAUAUUAUAACAAUACAUAUUGAAAUUUAUUUUAAUAUUUAUUUUAUUUUAUUCAUAAGUAUCUAAUAAAAUGAUUUUUAAUUAUUUAAUAUUAUUAUUUUCUAUUUUAUUUAUAUUUCUUUUAUUAUUAAAAAUUAUUUUAUUUUUUAUUUAUUUACUUAUAUAUAUAUAUAUAUAUAUAAAUGUAUAUAUAUAACUUAAAAAAUAUAAAAAUAUAAAUUAUGUUUUUUAUUUUUAUUGAUAAAAAAUGGAAAUUUUGUGAUAAAAAAAUUGUCUUAAAAAAUUAAUUAUUAUUUUUUUAUGUGAACAAUUUUAUUUAUUAGUAUUUUAUUAUUAAAUAAAGUUUUCUUGAGUUGUACUGAAACUAGAGAAGAUAUAAGAGUAAAUACAGUUCUCACAGUUAACUGAACUGUAAUGUUAUAAAAAACUGAACCAUAAAACAGUAUACUGAACUGUUAGUAAAAGUGGUUCAGUUAUUUUUAGUAUAAUAUAGUACAGUUAACUACAGUACAGUACAGAUCAGUUAUUUUUGCCCAACCUAAUACAUUGGGUUGAUUUGAUGAUAAUUUUGAUGAUGUAUGCAAUUUUGUUGUUGUUAUUGAUUCGCCUUAUUCGUCUCACUUAUUGUCAAAAAUAUCAUUAUCCUAGUUGAAAAUAGGAAUGCAUGCCAAACGAAUCAUAGUAUGCAAAAGGAAAUGUAUAGGAGAGACUGAACUUUUGAGCUCCCGUAACUUGUAAUUCACGUUGCUAAUAUGAGAGAAGACGUUUGCAUAAAUUUAAAUUAAAAAAGAAUUAUAUUUUUUAAUAUUAAAUAGAAAGAUAAAUAUAUCAUUAUAUAUAUAAUCAUUAUAUAUAUAUAUAUAUAUAUAUAUAUAUAUAUAUAUAUAUAUAUAUAUAUAUAAAUUAUUAACCAAGCAUUCAUAUAAAUACGGGAAACUAAUCACUAAUCACUAAUCACUAUGAUUUAAUAAUGCGCAUACUUUAAAAGAAAACUUUAAUAUCUAAAUUGGAAAAAAUUAAGAUUCAAACAGUAUAAUUGUUAUUUUGUUUUGAGGGAAUAUUUUAGUGAUUAUAUUUAAAUUAUAUUUUUUUCAUUCUUUUGCUUGUUAAUUUAAAAUAAAUAAAUUAAAAUAUAAAUAAUCUUUAUGUGGGCUAUCCUACGAGUCAAAAUGUUACGUGGAAGAAGCCAAGAAAAUUAAUUUGCAUGUCAUUGAUAGCCCUGAUUCACUUUUUAUGCACCAAAUGCAAAGCAGAACAAAACAGGACGCAUUCUCACCCUAUAAUAAAAAGAAAAUAUAUUUUAAUAAUUUUUUAGACAAUGUUUUUGAACGGUUUUUAUGGAAACGAAUCGGUAAAAUAAUAAUAUAUAAUUUGUUGUCAAAAAAUUAUAAAAUAUUAUAAUAAAAAAUAAAUAAAUGUAUGAGUCUUUCUAUAUAUAUAUUAAUCAUUUUAUUUGUAUUUAUUUAAUGUGAGAUUUCAAGGGCUUGAAUUCUUAAGAUAUGACAUACAUGUACUUAUCAUCAUGAUAAAUAAAUGACGUGGCAUUUUAGCAAAAUUAUUAUAAACCGGCGGAAAAACAUUUUGGUAGCUAACCGAAUCUUAUUAAAGCAUCAAAUUCAUAUAUAUUUUUUCUUGAGGAGUUGAUAAUGUUGAGAAUUAGAUAAAUCUAUUUUAAUUAAUUUAUCUUUUUAAAUUUCUGUUAAAUGAUUCUUUAUUUCCUGACUUUUAUUUUUCAAAAUUUCAAAAUAUUAAUUAUUUUAAUAGAUGGACCGAAUUAUUCAAUCGGCUUUUUAUUAUUAUACUUUACCACAACGUUUUAUUGAGAGAAAUAAAAUCUUAACCCUCUUUUAAAAAUAAACAAGGUCGUGCUCCACGGGAAACAUAAAAUAUUCCUCGCCACGAGCUUUAAUGUUAUAUAUAAUUUAUUUACUACUAUUAUUGCUGUGCUUCGUGAAGCUCGUGGAUUUUAACUGUUGUUAAAAUAAGAAAUAAAAUGUUAUCUCUGAUGUCUCUUUUUAUUUUUAUAUUAUAACUUUUCUAAUUAUUAAAAGAAAGGUUGCUAUCUUUUGUGACACGUGUCUCAUUGGAUUGCUAAAACAAAGUCAACUUCUUGCUUUAAUUUGUAUUGUGUCAAAUAACUAUCGAAUAUGUUUGUAUAUUUUAAAAUUACAAAACAAUAUAUAUAUAUAUAUAUAUAUAUAUAUAUAUNNNNNNNNNNNNNNNNNNNNNNNNNNNNNNNNNNNNNNNNNNNNNNNNNNNNNNNNNNNNNNNNNNNNNNNNNNNNNNNNNNNNNNNNNNNNNNNNNNNNNNNNNNNNNNNNNNNNNNNNNNNNNNNNNNNNNNNNNNNNNNNNNNNNNNNNNNNNNNNNNNNNNNNNNNNNNNNNNNNNNNNNNNNNNNNNNNNNNNNNNNNNNNNNNNNNNNNNNNNNNNNNNNNNNNAUAUAUAUAUAUAUAUAUAGAUAAUAAUAUUUAGACAACAUUUUUUUGACAAUAUUUGAACAUUGAUUAUGUUUUAAUAUGUGAUUGGUCAUAAAUUACUUUAUAAUCAAUAAUAAUAAUCACAAACACUAUUAUAAAAUAAUUUACGACCAAUCACGUAAUCAAUGUUAAAAUGUUAUCAAGAAAAUAUUGUCUAAAUAUCAUUAUCAUAUAUAUAUAUAUAUAUUAAUUAGAAAAACCAUAUAAACAAUCAAAUUAAAUAUAUAAGUUCUUCACUUAAAACAAAUAAAAGCAUAAAAAUACAUCAAUAUAUAAAUUCCAAUUUUGUAUAGUUUCUUAGCUUAGCAAUUACAUUAAAAUAACUGAGUCCAACUUCAUCCUUAUCCAUAUAUUGUACUUGCAUAGCAUGACAUCUAAUCUUUUACUUACACUGAGCACGUCGCUAAAGACAUCUAUAUAGUCUCUCCGAAUUUUUUUAAAAUCUUUUUAUUAUAAAUGAAUUUGAAUUAAUUUUAUUCUAAUAGCCUUAAAGAAUAAAAAGUAUAAAAAAAAUUGACAAUAAUUAUCUUCGUAUAAUUAUAGAUCAUAAUUAUACAGUUCUGUUAUGAACUUUACAAAUAUUUAGACUAUAUAUAAAUGAACAAAAUUGAUUAUUAUAUAUCUUUUCUGUUAAAACCAACAUUGAAAAUGAUGAUUUUCAGAAAAUAUUUUUAUUGGUAAGAAAAAAAAAUUGGUUUUCGGAUAAAAAACUCGUUUCAAAAUUCUACGAUAUCAUAUUUCACAACAUUAUGGAUCAAACUACCAAUAAUUGCUUUCUUUUUUUAAAAAUUGCCAAUUCUUUACAUUUCUCCACCUAUAACAUUUCAAAUAUCUUAACACAAAUUAUUAUUUUUCAUUAAAAAUCGAGUUAUUUUAAAAAUAUAUUUCAUUAAUUUAAUAAAUUAACUAUAAUUCAGUUAUUAAAUUUAGAAAAAAAUAUUAAAAUAAUUUACCCACAUGUUGUGAAUGUCUCUCUUUCAUAAAUGAACCUUUGUUUCUAUUCUGAGCUCUUUCUUUCCUUCUUUUUUCCUUUCUCUAUGUUGGAAAUUGAACUCUCCAUAUAUAAUUAAACCAUGUAUUAUCUUAUGAUUUUUGAAGUAGAAACACGUGCUGCUAUAGCACCAUCUUUGGUUCUAUAUAAAGAACCAAAAUGCAGUACACCAAAACAUCUCCAACAACACCUUCCAAAUCGAUCAACCAUGAAGCCAACCCUAGUUCUUGCUCUCUCUUUCCUCCUUCCCCUCCUUGCUUUCUUCACCAACCUUCCCUUAGCUUUCUCAGAUGAUGUUCAACAAGUUGUGGACAUAUAUGGGAACCCCAUUUUCCCAGGUUUCAUAUACUACAUCAUCCCAGCAAUCCGUGGUCCAGCUGGUGGUGGAUUGAAACUUGCCCAAACUGGAAAGUCAGAGUGCCCUCUUACUGUUCUGCAAGAUUACUCAGAAGUCUUCCGUGGCCUCCCUGUGCAAUUCACCAUUCCCGGAAUCAGCCCUGGAAUCAUCUUCACAGGUACUAAUCAAUACUUCAUUGUCAUGAGAAUCGUUAGAAGUCUCAUCUCGACUGAAUGGAUGUAGUGAGCCGAUUUUGCAAGAUUGAAUUAGACUUAAAGUCUAUGGUAUUAUAGUUAUGAUCAGAAUCCAUCCUAACGAUAUUUGUUAUCUGUUGAACAUGUUGUUUCACCUGCUAUUAGGUCAUUAUCCGACUAUAUAUUAAUGUCUAGUCUCACGAUGAUAUGUUUAUACCUCAAUUUAUAGAUUGAAUUGAGCUUAAAUUUGAUUUCCUAACAAAUUUCUUAUAAAUGAUCUUCUGUUAUUAAUUUCAAGUUUUGGAAACUUCCCUAUAGGUACCAAACUGGACAUCGAGUUCGUACAUAAGCCAUUAUGUACAGAAUCCUCCAAGUGGUUGGUGUUCGUGGACGAAUCAAUCCAGAAAGCAUGCGUGGGAAUUGGUGGUGCCGAAGGCCAUCCAGGGCAACAAACUUUUGGUGGCAAAUUUCACAUUGAGAAAUACAAAUUUGGGUACAAGCUUGUUUUCUGCAUCACCGGCUCACCAACUUGCUUGGAUAUUGGGAGAUUUGAUGCAGAGAACGGUGAGGAAGGAAGACGCUUGAAUCUCACUGAGCAUGAAGCAUUCGAUAUUGUGUUCGUACCAGCUUUUGAAGCUGAUAAGGUUAUUAAGUCUGUAGUUUGAAUCAAAUAUCUCUAGUUAAUCAGAUUUUAGUUAAUGCAAUCAUAUGUUGUUUUGAUUUGCAUUACCUAAGAGAAUCUAGUCCAAAGACUGAAUAAGAUAGUUAAUUUCUAAUUUCUUGCCUGAUAUCUUUCUCUCUUUCAUUUCGUUCAAACUUCAAUGAAAGACAUUAAAAAAUUUAGGUUUAAUAUUCUGAAAUGCCCACACAAGCCGACGUGGUUCUGCCAUGCACAACUUUAAAUACUAAACAUCAUAUAUUAUAUAUAAUAAAAUAUUAGUCCUCGUGACCCUCGACCUAUUCGACCUAUAGUAAAAAAAGUAUGUUCAUUAAACAAUUCUAUAUAUAUAUAUAUAUAUAUAUAUAUAUAUAUAUAUAUAUAUAUAUAUAUAUAUAUAUAUAUAUAUAUAUAUAUAUAUAUAUGGAACGUUUAAUUAUGCUCAUGUAGCUUGAUUAUUUAUACAUUGGUCAUAUUUUUUUUUUUAUUAUUGACAUUGUUACUUAAUGGAAACUGACUCUCAAAUUAAAUCGAUAGGUUAUAAAAAAUUAAAUCAAAAUGUGAAAGAGUGUGUGAGUUUUAUUUUAAUUGCGAAUAUGUACGACAGAAUUUCUCUUCAAGAACUUUUGGGAAGGAAAAAAAUGAAAUUAGUAUCUCAAUAAAUUAAAACUAAUUUAUUAAUAAAUUAAUCUAUUGACAUAGCUUCUUAAAAAGUUAUUUUUAACUUACACUAGUAAAUAAACUAGUAAAUAAACAAUUUUUUAACUCAUACAUUAAGUUUCUUCAUAAAAAUUCAAUGGUAAUUUUAUAAUUAUGACAACAUUAUAUGUCUCGAUUCAUUAUGAAUUGAUAACUAAGGGUUAGUUCUUUGAUCAAUCGAGACAAAAAAUCUUGUUGACCCAUGUAAAUUAGACUUUUCAUCUGUCUGAGUUCUUUGACCAACUUAGACAUUAUGUCUUGUCAGAAACCGACAACAUUUAAUUAUGAUUGUUUGAAAUUUAUUUUGUCAACUUCUACGGCCUUGAUUAUAUUUUAACUGAUGUCAUAGGCCUUUUAUGCCUUAGGUUAACCGCGAAUUGAUGCUUACAAUUAUUAGAUAUUUUCAAAUUUUUCAUUUACAAUUUUAUUUUGAAUUUUUUCUAGAAGGUUUACGCAUAAGUUGUGUUUAUAACUGAGGUAAUAGUCUCUUUGAUAGUUAAAUUCCAUAGGUUCAACAUAUUAUAACGUACUUUCUGUCACCAAUUAUAAUAGUGUAUUAUGAAAUAUUUUCACUUAUUAGUCUUAAUAUAGCAAAUAUAUUAUGAUGUAGCUCGAUUUAUCUAUUAUAAUAUAUAGUAUUUUAUGAUAUAGAGCUUUUCACCUAUCAUAAUAUGUCGAAUAUAUUAUGACAAGUAAUUGUUCACCUAUCAUAAUAUAUGUUUUUCAUAAUUAACUUUAUUACAUACAUAGUUCACCUAUCAUAAAAACUUGUUUUGUUAAAAAAUAAUAAUUCAUUAUUACAUUUAACAUAUCCAAUCAAUUUCUUGUAUUAUCAUAUCAUCAAUCAAUUUAUAAUCAAUAUAACAUGAAAUGAACAUAUUUAAUUAAACUAAGUUUAAACCUCUUUUUGGUCCCUAAGUUAUAAGCUGGUGUUCAGUUUAGUCCCUGCUUUUAAGAAUGUCAACUUUUGAUCCCUAAGUUAUAAAAAAUGUUUCAAAUCAGUCCCUACCGUUAAAUAUCCACUAACGGAGUUAAUUUUUUUUCUCUCUCUUCUGCUCCUCUGAAUUUCUGUGAAGAUAACAACUUUUUCUUUCUCUCUCUUUUACGUCUCCUCUGAAUUUAUAUGAAAACAACAACUUUUACCAACGCUGUUGAUGAAGCUCCCCAAACUAUGCUUUCCUCUGCUGGCUCAUGCAGAUGACGACCACCCCUUCCUCUAUUAGACCCACCUCUGAAAAGUUUACUGAGCCAUUUCAUGAAACCAGACUUUCUCUCUGAGCGAGGAGAAAUAUAAUCCCCUGCAUCCCACCAAAAUUCCACCAUGUAUAUCAAGUUUAGUAAGAACCAGAAGAAGUAUAUCAAGUUUAGUAAGAACCAGAAGAAGUGAAAAUUCAAGUUCUAAAAAAAAAGCACCAUGGUCUAGAUAACUUAUUGGAACCACGUGAAAAGUAAAUUCCGAAACUUUGAGAAUACCUAUUUAGUAAAAUCAACAGAAAAAGUUUAAAGUUCAAACAAGAGCUUCAUGGGGUGGUUCACGCUUCUGCAAAAUCCAUUUUUUUUUUCUUUCUUCCACGUAAAUAUCUGUAAAGCAACCGCUUUGAAUAGAUGGGGGUGAUGAAGCUCAGAUUUUGCUGAAUAGUAGUGAAAGAGAAAGAUAGAGAGAAAAGAAUGAUGAUACCGUAUAUGCAUGGAUGAGAAAGAUGGUUGACAUGGAGCCAUAAGGAGGAAAAAAGCAAUGUUGUGAGAGAGAAGACGAGGGAAAUGAAAAUGACAGAGAGAUGGAGAAGAUUUGAGUGUGGUUGAAGAAGGGGCAUGAGAGAAGAGAAAAAUACGGAAUCAGCGCUGGCAUUGGAUUUGAGUGUAGUUGAAUCUUACCUUUGCUUCUUCACUCUUGUUUUCAGAUAAAUUCGGAAGAGUAUAAGAGAGAGAAAGAAAAAACUGUUAUCUUCACAGAAAUUUAGAGGAGCAGAAGAAAGAGAAAGAAAAAGUUAACUCCUUUAGUGGAUAUUUAACGACAGGGACUGAUUUGAAACAUUUUUUAUAACUUAAGAAUCAAAAGUUAACAUUUUUAAAAGAAGAGACUAAACUGAACAUAAUUAAAUUCAUUUUAAAAAUUAAAUUGUUUGAUAAUAUUUAAUACAUAAUUUAUACAUUAAUCCAUAUAUUACAUUAACUUACAGUACAGCAGUCAAGUUUCUAUAAACAAUGUCCAUGGAAUAACAAACAAGUUUCUAUACCCAACGGCCUUUCCCCCCUGUGAACAUGUAGUUACCUUUGUACUUGCUAACGAAUUCUUUUUUUGGCCUAGACCAUGCAGCAAACUCAUAGUCAACAGCAAAGCUCACUGACCCCUUCUCCUGCAUUCCCAAAAACAGCCCAAUAACCGGCUACAGUAUCUCAUGCACGAAGCAACUUCAAAUUUGUCCGCAGCCAUCAACACGUCCAGCAAAGCAGGUGCUGUAGUAGUGGUCAAGGUACAUAACGUUCAGCAGCUCCAUGAGAACAGCUUCUUCUGCAACAUAAAAAGAAGUAUGGCAUUUCUAAUGUAACUAUUUGAGGGAAAAGAGGCAAAACUGUGCAAAGAAUCUACAAAGUACAUUCCUACAUUCCUACCUGAGGCAUUAAUUUUAAGGGAGACAUGUCUCUGAUCAGACUCCCUCAUCCCAUUUGAGAAAAGCUGCAUAAGUAAAUACAUACUAGUAAGCAAAUAUAUUUUUGGAAAAAAAGAAUCAAAUGUACCCUGUAAAGAAGAAAGAUCUUCCUCAACCUUAUAAAAGAAAGGACUUUUAUCAAACAAGAUAGGAGAACUUAUGUGAAGCGUUUUAACUCUAACAAUGGUCCAUGCUGUAGUCCGAAUCAUGACUAUUUGUAGCUUUUCAUCACCUGAAUUAACCACACCACUCGAGUAUUCACAGAGCAGAAAUGAUAACUUCAUACUAAAAGGGAAGGAACCAAAAGAUAUCCAUAAAGAUAUCAAUGUCCAUUCCUUGUUUAAAAACAAAUGAGAGUGUCAUAUUUUCUGAUAACAUAAACUUCUCUAAACAAUCACACUCGUGUAUAAAUCGUACAUUUACGAUUAAAUUAGAGGAUUUCUAAUGCAAUAUAUGUAGAUUCCUAAAGAUAAUUGGGAAACGAGGGCAUGUUUCAUUCCCUUCUCAUUUUUCAGAUUUAAAAACAAUUUUUCCGAAACAACACCUAAUUAGCAAUCUAUUUCUCAUUCAAAUUUUUUUAAAAUGAUUUUGGAAAUAGUUAUUUUAAAAAAUCAAGUCUUAAAUGUUUACUUGGUUCCUGAGUUAAAUAAUUUUGUUCAGUUUAGUAUCUGGUUUUAAAAGUGCAUACAUUAAGUCUCAAAAUUAUAAAAAUUGUAUAGAUCAAGUCCCUUCCGUUAAAUUGGCAAUAACAUAGUUAAUUCUUAGUUGAUGUGGCAAAAUAAUCUGCAUUUUAUCUUCUCUCUCCCAUGCUUUUCCAGCAAUGCCCAUCUUUUUCUCUCUUUUCUAUAUCUUUCGUAUUCUUCUUCAAUCUUCCUUCUUCAAUCUUCAACCUUGAAGCUCAUCGUCAUGUCUUCUCUCCUAGGUAAGCCUCUCACGAUUCAAUCUUUUUAAAGUCAAAUCGAUGAUGUAUGUGGCUCUUUUGGACUCAAAACUCUGAUAGAUGAUUGCAAGGAACAAUUAUUAGAAGUGGAUGCAAAUGCAAAACCUAAAUUCCAGAUAAAAAAUCUCACUAGAGUUUUUGACGGUGGGGUUUCAAUCUUCAAAAGCAUCAACCUUAACAUCCCAAAGGGUGUCAUUGUUGGGAUCAUAGGCCCCGACGAUAGCGGCAAGUCAACCUUCUUAAGAGCCUUGAACCGCCUUUGGGUAUGGUUGUAGUUUCUUCCAACAACUUAGAUAACUCCACCUUCUUCAUCGAUUCAGAUUCCCUCAUCCGAAGUUCAUCAUUUUCUUCAAACAUACUUUACAACUCGUUUUCUUUAUCCAAUAAAUUCUCCUUCAGUUUCAUGUUCUUAGCUAUUGCUUCCUUAAGAGCUUCCUGCAGUUGAAUUGCCUCAGCCUCAACUUCCUUAAUAUUUUCCUUCAACUAGGCUUCUUCCUCCCUGUUUAUAUUAGCUUCUUCCUCGGUUUCUUUAAGCAAAUAAAGCAAUCUUUUUAUUUCUUUUUUCCAGAGAUACCUUCUUUUCUUCAUUUUUCUUUAUGCAGCUUACAAGAUGAUGCUCUCUCUCUGCUCCUACUCAACCUUGGAGUUCUCAAAGACACUCUUUGAAUUUUCAAUGCUACAUACAAGAAAAUGGAUCUCAUGUCAUGCCUCAUCAAGCAUGGACUCAUUUUUUAUUGGUGGCUUUUAAUACUAACUUCAAAUCUUCAAUCUGAGCCUCACAGCUUUCACGUUCAGCUUGGAUGUUUAGUAGAUUUUCCUUGGCUUCUCUGGCUUCUGUAGAUAUUUCAUGUAAUGCAGAAGCUAAGCUUUCCAUUGCCUUUUUACUCUUUUCUUCUUCAUCCUUAGAAUUUUCCAAUUCACUGAUAAGUUUGUUUUUCUCUUGUAAUAAUGUUGGAGGGUAUCUAUUCUACAGGCAUAGUUGCUGACAAUGUGAGGUAUGGACCACAACUUAGAGGGAAAAAGCUAAUUGAUGAUGAGGUGCGCAAGUUGCUGGCAAUGGCAGACUUCGAUGCUUCUUUCAUGGAUAAGUCCGGGGAUGAACUCUUUGUGGGUCAAGCACAAAGGGUUGCACUUGCUAGGAUUUUGGCUAAUUCAUCGGAGGUAACAUAAAACUAUUUUUUUUUGUCUCUUAACUUUAUUUUUUGUCUCCAUUUUUACUUGUGAUGUUCGUUUUAUUUGGUAUUUUUGAAUUGAAGAUUUUGUUGUUAGAUGAGCCACGAUGAAUGUACUUCCUGAUUAUUAACAGUGGACUGGAAAGGAAAUAAGAGAAUUUGAGGAAGUGGAGGAUAGGUUUGGUGAAAAAAAGAAGAGAAAAAAAAACUAUUUUGUAAAGAUAUAGGAAAGAGAGAAAAAAGCAAGGACAUGGUAGGAAAAAAAACAGAGAAGAGAGAAGAAAUAUGGUAGAAGUUUUUGCCACAAUAGUUGGGAGUUAAUACCAUUGUUGUCAAUUUAACGGAAGAGACUUGAUUUAUAUAAUUUUCACAAUUUUAGGAUAUAACAGAAGGGACAUGAUUUAUAUAAUUUUUACAACUUUAGGAUCUAACUGUAUGCACUUUUAAAAUCAUGUACUAAAGUGAAAAAAAAAACCACUUAACUUAGGAACCAAGUAAACAUUUAAACCAAAAAUCAAUAUACAAAAGCAUAUAUUCUCAUCUUCUCUUUUGAUCUUGUUUGAGCUCUACCUCAAUUCCACACUCUACUCUCGCCUUACACCUUCCACUCUACCAACUGUCUGGACAAAAUGCAAUUCAAGUUUCACUGGUAUUCAUACAACAUGCAAUUCAAGUUUUACAAGAAAAAAUUAAAUAAUAAAUUUAGAUCUCUUAGAAUAAAUUUAGAUCACCUAAGAGAGACCACCUGGAAGAAACCCUACUCCCAUGAAGCCCUAGCAAUGUGUGACUAGUACUCUUCUCUCACAGUCUUGUUACUGUCCUCUAAACGGCUGAGAUAAAUGACCGAAAGCUCGCAUUCCUCAGCACCCACCAGGAUACAACAUGGAGACGUGCCAUCGACGACGUGAAGCUUCAAGACGUGUAGAGUUUCGAGAUGUUUUGUGUGGUCUGGGACGAGAGAAAGAAAUGUUGUGCGAGAUUGGAAGAAAUGAAAUGAGAAGGGUUUUGCACUUAUUAUAAUAAGUAUUUUAAUAUGUAUCAUAAUAUGUUUUUCCAUAAUUUUCAUUUUGUCAUCAUAUUCAACUUAUUAUUAUGACAGGUGACUUGUACCUGUCAUAAUACUUAUAUUUUUUAUUACGAAAAUAUUACUAUUAUAAAUUUCUUAAAAUAUGUCAUAAUACAUGUUAAUUUUAUUAAAAAUUAUUAUGAUAACUAGAUUUCAUCAAUAGAAUCCUCUUUUUUACUUUUUUUUUUCUACUAGUGAGUAAUUACAUUAAAAUAACUCAGUACAACUUCGUCCUUAUCCAAUUAUUGUACUUGCAUAACAUGUGAUAUAAUAUUUUACCUACACUCAGCACGUCGAUCUACAAAGUCUAUUCGAAUUUUUUUUAAUUCUUUUAUAAUAAAUGAUUUUGAAUUAAUCUUAUUCGAAUAACCUUAAAGAAUAAAAAGUAUAAAAAAAAGUUGACAAUAAUGUCAUGAACCUUAAUUUUAUAUAUCUUUUAUGUAAAACCAACACUGAAAAUGCGGAUUUUCAGAGAAUAUUUUUAUUGGUAAAAGAAAAAUUUGAUUUUCGGAUAAAAAACUCUUUUCAAAAUUCUACGAUGUCAUAUUUUACAACAUUAUGGAUCAAACUACCAAUAAUUGCUUUCUUUAUUUAAAAAUUACAUUCUCUCUUUCUCGAUAUAUAUUGUUUGCCAAUUCUUUACAUUUCUCCACCUAUAACAUUUAAAAUAUCUUUACACAAACUUCAAUUUUUAUUGAAAAUCGAGUUAUUUUAAAAGUAUAUUUCAUAAAUUUAAUAAAUUAACUAUUAUUCAGUUAUUAAAUUAAGAAAAAAAAUUAAAAUAAUUUACCCACAUGUUAUGAAUGUGUUGUCAGUCUCUUUCACAAAGUCAUUGUCCUGUCUUACUAUAAACCUUUGUUGCUAUGUCCAUUCUUAACAUGAUAUUACAUUUCUUGCUGCCACACAUGUUUCUAUUCUUUGUAUUUUUCCUUUUUCCUGUCUCUAUGGUCAAAAUUGAGAUCUGCAUACCUAAACCAUAUUAUCUUAUGAUUUUUAAAGUAGAAACAGGUGGUGCUAUAGCAGCAUCUUUGGUUCUAUAUAAAGAACCAAAAUCAAUCCAGCACAACAUCUCCAACAACAUCUUCCAAAUCGAUCAACCAUGAAGCCAACCCUAGUUCUUGCUCUCUCUUUCCUCCUUCCCUUCUUCACCAACCUUCCCUUAGCUUUCUCAGAUGAUGUUCAACAAGUUGUGGACAUAUAUGGGGACCCCAUUUUACCAGAUUUCACAUACUACAUCGUCCCAGCAAUCAGUGGUCCACCUGGUGGUGGAUUGAAACUUGCCAAAACUGGAAACUCAAAGUGCCCUCUUACUAUCCUGCAAGAUUACUCUGAAGCCUUCCGUGGCCUCCCUGUUCAAUUCACCGGAGACAGUCACUUAUUCAUCUUUACAGGUACUCAUCAGU
rnacentral:lncRNA from 1 species